GCACAAGCGGUGGAGCAUGUGGUUUAAUUCGACGCAACGCGAAGAACCUUACCUGGGCUCGAAAUGUAGUGGAAUCCGGCAGAAACGUCGGCGUCUAGCAAUAGACCGCUAUAUAGGUGCUGCAUGGCUGUCGUCAGCUCGUGUCGUGAGAUGUUGGGUUAAGUCCCGCAACGAGCGCAACCCUUAUUACCAGUUACCAUCAUUCAGUUGGGGACUCUGGUGAGACCGCCUCGGAUAACGGGGAGGAAGGCGGGGAUGACGUCAAGUCCUCAUGGCCUUUAUGUCCAGGGCUACACACGUGCUACAAUGGCCGGUACAAACCGCUGCAACCCCGCGAGGGUGAGCUAAUCGGAAAAAGCCGGCCUCAGUUCGGAUUGGAGUCUGCAACUCGACUCCAUGAAGCUGGAAUCGCUAGUAAUCGUGGAUCAGAAUGCCACGGUGAAUACGUUCCCGGGC
rnacentral:rRNA from 1 species